UUUCCCCGUAAAAUUAUUAUUUGAGUAGUAGUAGAAGUUCUUGAAACUUAAAGAAUUUGGCGGUAUAUUAAUCUGUUUAGAGGAACCUGUCCUGUAAUCGAUAAUCCCCGUAAAUUUAACCUAGACUGGAAAAAGCAGCUUAUAUAUCGCUGUCGUAAGAUUAUUUUAUAAGAAAUUUUUCGAUAAUAAAUUUUUAUUUAUGUCAAGUCAAGGUGUAGUAUAUGUUUAGGGUUGAGAUGGGUUACAAUAUAUGAAUGUAAACGAAUUUAGGUUUGUAAAAAUUUAAUGAAGGUGGAUUUAAUUGUAAUAUAAAGUUAAUUACUUUAUAUGGAAAAGUACUAAUAUAUGC
rnacentral:rRNA from 1 species